ensembl:lncRNA
UCUACUUGUUUCAAAAGCUGUAAUUGACUGGUAGGGUUGCAACAAAAUUAAAGACCAAAAUAACUUGUGUUCAAAGUUUGCAGGCAUAAAAUGUGAUGUUACUUCAAGGUUUGGAUACAGACUUCAUAAAUAUUCAGGGCUGAAGGUCGCACAGAGCCAAGCCCAAGUUGUUUAAGUCAGCAGAAGGACUACUGCAAGCUUCAAAGGAACUUGAAUACAUUUUUAAGAACAUUUCAGAAUGGUUCUUAUCCUGUGCUGAAGGAUCAUUUAACUAUCAGGAUAAGAAGUACAAGCAGACAGCACCAGGCUCUGUCAUACCCCAUAGAAAUAGACAGCUCUUCCAAGCAGACCAUCUCAUCUGUUCAGAUUACCUGUCAUGUUUGGGGAGAGCCGAGGUCUGAGAAGAUUUGUAAGUCAGUGGAAUUUCUGCUUUGGAUGAAAUAACUCACGGUUGUAAAUCUAUGUGCUAGCACACUUCUUAAGCAAGAUACAGUACAGGGAAACUACAAAUAGUGUCUACGUUCCUUCUAUGUGGCUGAGAUUAGAAGACUGUUAACAAUAGAGAGUGAGUGGGAAAGUCUGGGACUGGAACGUCAAGAACAAACCGCAGAAGAAGAGAUUGAACCCCAGGAAAUGUGGUUUGAGAGCCAUUAAAACACAUGAAUGAGGUCUCUGUGACAUUGUUUUAACAAAGGCUUCUCAAUAGAGAACUGCAAUUUAAAAUGUAUGUAUUUCUAAAAAUACUCAAAAUGCUAUGUGUGAGACCUAGGUUCAGCAAGGAAAAGAGGAAGACUAGAGAAAAGAUGUUAAAACUGAG